GAUGAACGCUGGCGGUAUGCUUAACACAUGCAAGUCGUACGAAGAUAAAAUUGUGCUUGCAUAAUUUUAUACUGAGUGGCGGACGGGUGAGUAACACGUAAGAACCUACCUUUUGGCGAGGGACAACCACUGGAAACGGUGGCUAAUACCUCAUAUUGCUGAGAAGUGAAAGAUGAAUAAUCACCAAAAGAUGGGCUUGCGGCUGAUUAGCUUGUUGGUGAGGUAAUGGCUUACCAAGGCAAUGAUCAGUAGCUGGUCUGAGAGGAUGAUCAGCCACACUGGGACUGAGACACGGCCCAGACUCCUACGGGAGGCAGCAGUGAGGAAUUUUCCGCAAUGGGCGAAAGCCUGACGGAGCAAUACCGCGUGAAGGAUGAAGGCCUAUGGGUUGUAAACUUCUUUUCUUAGAGAAGAAUUUUGACGGUAUCUAAGGAAUAAGCAUCGGCUAACUCUGUGCCAGCAGCCGCGGUAAUACAGAGGAUGCAAGCGUUAUCCGGAAUGAUUGGGCGUAAAGCGUCUGUAGGUGGUUUACCAAGUCUUCUGUCAAAGAUCAGGGCUUAACCCUGGGCAGGCAGGAGAAACU
rnacentral:rRNA from 1 species